rnacentral:lncRNA from 1 species
UGCGGGGACCCGGGGCCGCGGGGGGCCCGUCAGCCGAUGCGCUGACCCUACUGUCCGGGGAAGGCAAAACGGGGUGCAGCUCGCGCGGAAAGGAAAACCGCUCGGCGGGCAGGGGCUGGCCUCCCGAGCGCGGCGCGGGUCUCUAACACCCGGCGGGCGCUACACGUGUGCUUAGGGCAGCCCCGCCCG